rnacentral:rRNA from 1 species
GAUGAACGCUGGCGGCGUGCUUAACACAUGCAAGUCGAACGAGAAAUGGAGACGGAAACCUUCGGGCGGAAGGCUUCAUUUCGAGUGGCGGACGGGUGAGUAACGCGUGGGUAACCUGCCUCAUACAGGGGGAUAACAGUUGGAAACGACUGUUAAUACCGCAUAAGACCACAGCACCGCAUGGUGCGGGGGUAAAAACUCCGGUGGUAUGAGAUGUACCCGCGUUCGAUUAGCCAGUUGGCGGGGUAACGGCCCACCAAAGCGACGAUCGAUAGCCGAUCUGAGAGGAUGACCGGCCACAUUGGGACUGAGACACGGCCCAAACUCCUACGGGAGGCAGCAGUGGGGAAUAUUGCACAAUGGGGGAAACCCUGAUGCAGCGACGCCGCGUGAGUGAAGAAGUACUUCGGUAUGUAAAGCUCUAUCAGCAGGGAAGAAAAUGACGGUACCUGAGUAAGAAGCCCCGGCUAACUACGUG